AUAUAAUUUAGUGUGUGUGUGUGUAUAUAAUGCACACACUGCAUUAUAUACACACACUGCAUUAUAUACACACACUGCAUUAUAUACACACACACACUACACAUUCUGUAU